UGCUGUUAGUUGUGGGUACCGUCUUGUGGA
rnacentral:piRNA from 1 species